rnacentral:rRNA from 1 species
UACGUAGGGCGCGAGCGUUGUCCGGAAUUAUUGGGCGUAAAGAGCUCGUAGGCGGUCUGUCGCGUCUGCUGUGAAAUCCCGAGGCUCAACCUCGGGCUUGCAGUGGGUACGGGCAGGCUAGAGUGCGGUAGGGGAGAAUGGAACUCCUGGUGUAGCGGUGGAAUGCGCAGAUAUCAGGAGGAACACCAAUAGCGAAGGCAGCUCGCUGGGACGUUACUGACACUGAGGCGCGAAAGCGUGGGGAGCGAACAGG